ensembl:lncRNA
ACCCUGCAGUGCAGCUUUGGAAAACAAGCAGAUGGAUUGUUUCAGGUUUGACAGACAGACUGAAGUUCCUCAAUGGCAAAGCAUGUGAUUCUUCAGUAGUUUUUCCCAGCUCAGAAUGCAAAGUCUAGAUGGACUUCUUGCCAACUGCCAAAAGUACUUCGGGCUGUGGAUCUAGCAGUUUGAACCAUGAGCACUGACUGACCACAUUCACAACUGCUGUCUGCAGGGAAUGGCUCAAAGUCACCGCCAUGUCAUCUGUCCCUUCUCCCCAGCAGCCACGGUUGUCAAAAAGAAAUUUUAUUAUUUAUAUCCAUUCUUUUUAAUUCUGUUUUUAUUAGUUCUCAAAGUCUUUGACAGCAAAUGUCAAACCACAUUUAAAUUGUUUUGAUUUUUAACUCCAUGCUCCAGGCCAGAUUUCAAAUACUUUGCAAAUGAUUUAAAAAAAAAAAAAAAAAAAAGCGUUGUUUAAAAAACUGUUAAAGAACACUUCAUUCAGAUAAGACCAAAAAGUCUGAAACAUGGACAAUAAUUCCCAUUGUAAGUUAAUGAUAGUUAUUUUAAGCUAGAAGUGUCAAGUGAAUACUGCUUAGCCAAAGAUCCUCGGGUUCUCCAUUUGCCUGGGACAUUACCUGGCCACACAAAAAAUCAAAUGCUCUUGCCAUCUAGAAAAUUAAAAAUACAAGGUAUUCUCUUCCUCGUAACCCGCACAAGCCUCGAUAGGAAACUAAAGGAUCUUAGGCGGUAACUUUAACUUACCUCUUCUGGGCUUUAGCAAGUGGUUUACUUAAAAGUAUUUACUUCCUUGCAAAAGGCAACUCAUUCUUAAAUGCAGCUGAAAACCUUGAACAACCCUGAGAAAAAAUGAUGCCCCGAUAUGUGUCACUGCCCAUUUACUUCCUGUUUCGCCAACUUACAAGUAAUUCACUCCUGAUACUGACUCUUCAGAUGGCAGCGUUUGCAUCUUUUUGGACUACGAAACGUGGCCCGUGGUUACCUCUAGCUUAAAAGCACCCAUCUUUCAUUGGGCGCCGUCACCGUCAUCUUUCUUCCUGGAAGACAAAUCCUUUGCAGAUCUCGCACCCCUCUUUACAAACCUGCGCGGGGCUUUCAGGGGGAGGGGGAGGCAAGACUUUGGUGGGAGCUGCUUCUCUUCACCAGACCGAGGGCUGACUGCAAAGGCGCGGGCUGGGUUCUCCAGCAAUUUCCUGCUGAUUCCAGAUUCCACUCGAAGCAGCGUGGAGAGAAGUCGGACUUCUUUUCCGUGCGGAGUCUCCACGUUGGACUUGGAGAGCCCGUGGCCGUGAGCCCGGGGCUGAGUCCCUGUCCCAGGCCGACGGCCAGCCCGACGGGGAGGGCCGGGGAGAGGGGUCCCCGGGGCGGCGCGCCACUCUGGACUCCAG